UGUACCAUAGUGUUUAGCACUUAGAUUUUUGAUAUCUAAAGAUAUGUACAA
rnacentral:tRNA from 1 species